UCCGCAGGUGGCCAUUCAAGUCUGCAGUCAAAGGUCGGGGCUCAACCCCGAAAAGGCUGUGGAAACUGAAAGACUAGAGUACGGUAGGGGCAGAGGGAAUUCCCAGUGUAGCGGUGAAAUGCGUAGAGAUUGGGAAGAACACCGGUGGCGAAAGCGCUCUGCUAGGCCGAAACUGACACUGAGGGACGAAAGCUAGGGGAGCGAAAG
rnacentral:rRNA from 1 species